GUGGUCAAGCUAAUAAGGGCUGAUGGUGGAUACCUAGGCACACAGAGGCGAUGAAGGACGUGGUUACCGACGAUAUACUCUGGGGAGUUGGAAGCAAGCAUUGAUCCAGAGAUUUCCGAAUGGGGCAACCCUAUAUACUGCCACCUGAAUUCAUAGGGUGGAAAGAGCGAACGCAGCGAAUUGAAACAUCUUAGUAGCUGUAGGAAGAGAAAACAAACGUGAUUUCCCAAGUAGCGGCGAGCGAAACGGAAACAGCCUAAACCAGAGUGCAUGCACUCUGGGGUCGUGGGACAGCGAUAUGGACUCAAGCGGCUAGACGAAGCAGUGGAAUGCUGCACCAGAGGGGGUGAAAGUCCCGUAGUCGAAAGCUUAAUGAUACUAGUUGAAUCCCGAGUAGCAUGGGGCACGGAGGAAUCCCAUGUGAAUCAGACGAGGACCAACCUCGUAAGGCUAAAUACUAACUGUGUGACCGAUAGUGAACCAGUACCCGCGAAGGGAAAGGUGAAAAGAACCCCGGAAGGGGAGUGAAAUAGAAGCAUGAAACCGUUAGCUUACAAGCAGUGGGAGGA
rnacentral:rRNA from 1 species